rnacentral:rRNA from 1 species
UGCGUAGGCGGUUUGGUAAGUCAGAUGUGAAAUUCCUGGGCUCAACCGAGGAACCGCAUUUGAUACUGCCAGACUAGAGUACUGGAGAGGAGACUGGAAUUUACGGUGUAGCAGUGAAAUGCGUAGAUAUCGUAAGGAAGGCCAGUGGCGAAGGCGAGUCUCUGGACAGUAACUGACGCUGAGGCACGAAGGCUAGGGGAGCAAACG